AUUGAACUCUGGCGGCAGGCCUAACACAUGCAAGUCUAACGAGCGGCGGACGGGUGAGUAAUUUCUGGGAAACUGCCGGAUGGAGGGGGAUAACUACUGGACACGGUAGCUAAUUCCGCCUACCACUAGAUGUGCCCAGCGGGGAUUAGCUAGUAGGUGGGGUACCGGCUCACCUAGGCGACGAUCCCUAGCUGGUCUGAGAGGAGGACCAGCAACAAUGGAACUGAGACACGGUCCAGACUCCUACGGGAGGCAGCAGUGGGGAAUAGUGCACAAUGGGCGCAAGCCUGAUGCAGCCAUGCCGCGUGUGUGAAGAAGGCCUUCGGGUUGUAAAGCACUUUCAGCGGGGAGGCGUUACCCGAAGAAGAAGCACCGGCUAACUCCGUGCCAGAAGCCGCGGUAAUUC
rnacentral:rRNA from 1 species